UGGGGAAUAUUGGACAAUAGGCGAAAGCCUGAUCCAGCCAUGCCGCGUGUGUGAAGAAGGUCUUCGGAUUGUAAAGCACUUUAAGUUGGGAGGAAGGGCAGUUACCUAAUACGUAUCUGUUUUGACGUUACCGACAGAAUAAGCACCGGCUAACUCUGUGCCAGCAGCCGCGGUAAUACAGAGGGUGCAAGCGUUAAUCGGAAUUACUGGGCGUAAAGCGCGCGUAGGUGGUUAGUUAAGUUGGAUGUGAAAUCCCCGGGCUCAACCUGGGAACUGCAUUCAAAACUGACAAGCUAGAGUAUGGUAGAGGGUGGUGGAAUUUCCUGUGUAGCGGUGAAAUGCGUAGAUAUAGGAAGGAACACCAGUGGCGAAGGCGACCACCUGGACUGAUACUGACACUGAGGUGCGAAAGCGUGGGGAGCAAACAGGAUUAGAUACCCCCGUAGUCCCUGAGCGGGCUGGCAAGGCGCAU
rnacentral:rRNA from 1 species